GCUACCGUAGCUCAGUUGGUAGAGCAGCUGAUUCGUAAUCAGCAGGUCGGCGGUUCGAGUCCGCCCGGUAGCUCCA
rnacentral:tRNA from 1 species